CUUGAACAAAACUCUCUUUAUGAGGACUCCAAGCAUCCAAAAGCUUUGCAGAACUGCUGGGAUCCUGCAGCACAUGCUGGCCUUUAAUUACAUCCCCCAGACAGGAGAAUUUAUUAGCAGAAUAUCCUCACAGAGAGACCUCCCUGUGAGGGGUUCCAUGAGCCAUGGGGAUGGAAACCACGUCCUGAUGGAGAUGGAGUUCCCUGCUCCAUUUGCCUCUUGCUUGGAUGCUUUCCUGGGCUUCCACAGGGGUUUUGGCUCCAUGAAGAUUUGGACACCUCCAUGGAGUCUGGACAUUUCAUGGACAUUCCCAUUCAUGGAGUUUGGACAUCUGACCGUAAAAAUUCCAGAGAUCUGGAUGGAAAAUCCCAGCAGAGGAAGGCACAUCUCCAUCCCAGGAAAGGGCAAAGGAAAGGUCCAUCAGAGGAUUAUCUCCGGCAUUCACUUAAUUUUAUUACUUUGAGUGACUUUAUUGCCUUCAUUUUGCUUUCUGUUGCAUUCCAG
rnacentral:lncRNA from 1 species